AGAGAAUAUAUGGGUUUAUAAGACCAUGAGUUAGACUAGCUAAUUUGUUGGAUUCAAUCUUUUAGUGUGGUUUGGCCCAUGUGCAUUAUAGCCUAAUUGAGUGACCCUAGCCCAAUCUUAAAUUAUAACACUUUUUAAGUUUAAAA